GGUGAACCUGCGGAAGGAUCAUUACCGAGUUGAUUCGAGCUCCGGGCUCGACUCUCCCACCCCAUGUGUUACCUACCUCUGUUGCUUUGGCGGGCCGCGGUCCUCCGCACCGACCCCCGUUCGGGGGCCGGCCAGCGCCCGCCAGAGGACCACAAAACUCCAGUCAGUAAACGUCGCAGUCUGAGAAACAAGUCAAUAAACUAAAACUUUCAACAACGGAUCUCUUGGUUCUGGCAUCGAUGAAGAACGCAGCGAAAUGCGAUAAGUAAUGUGAAUUGCAGAAUUCAGUGAAUCAUCGAAUCUUUGAACGCACAUUGCGCCCCUUGGUAUUCCGAGGGGCAUGCCUGUUCGAGCGUCAUUUCAACCCUCAAGCUCUGCUUGGUAUUGGGCUCCGUCCUCCGCGGACGCGCCUCGAAGACCUCGGCGGUGGCGUCUUGCCUCAAGCGUAGUAGAAAACACCUCGCUUUGGAGCGCACGGCGUCGCCCGCCGGACGAACCUUUGAAUUUUUCUACAAGGUUGACCCUCGGAUCAGGUAGGGAU
rnacentral:rRNA from 1 species